rnacentral:rRNA from 1 species
GCCAGACUCCUACGGGAGGCAGCAGUGAGGAAUAUUGGUCAAUGGGCGAGAGCCUGAACCAGCCAAGUCGCGUGAAGGAUGAAGGAUCUAUGGUUUGUAAACUUCUUUUAUAUGGGAAUAAAGUGAGGAACGUGUUCCUUUUUGUAUGUACCAUAUGAAUAAGCAUCGGCUAACUCCGUGCCAGCAGCCGCGGUAAUACGGAGGAUGCGAGCGUUAUCCGGAUUUAUUGGGUUUAAAGGGUGCGUAGGUGGUUAAUUAAGUCAGCGGUGAAAGUUUGUGGCUCAACCAUAAAAUUGCCGUUGAAACUGGCAGUCUCGAGUUGGAGAGAAGUAUGCGGAAUGCGCGGUGUAGCGGUGAAAUGCAUAGAUAUCGCGCAGAACUCCGAUUGCGAAGGCAGCAUGCCGGCUCCACACUGACGCUGAGGCACGAAAGCGUGGGUAUCGAACAGGAUUAGAUACCCUUGUAUAC